UCCUCUUGUGUGGUAUCAGGUCACCCAGCCCAGUGCACUGUGACAGGGAGACUGGCUUCUUGGGCAGAGUUGUUCACGAGGAAGUGCAGGCUGGGUCAGGGCACAAAGGACUGGUCCGAGGGUAACCAGGAGCGAGAAAGGAGGAGCUGCUUCUUUCAGUGUGUGUGCUCUGGAAGAGUUGAGGAGGAAACUGUGAAUUUCAUUUUUGGGAAGAAUGCAGAAUAAUUUUGUGUGUGUGUGGUACCAGGGGUCAAACUCAGGACUGCACACUUGCCAGAGUCAAUUUAGAAAGUUCAUGCAGGAGGCCUAGAAGAUGUAUGCAGCACACUGCGUCCUAAAACUUGAGAUAAUAAAAUUACACGAAAAGAAAAUCACCCACAUUCCAAGAUGAGUAACGGGAAGACUGCACUGAACCUGGGCAGCUGGUGAGAUGGAGCUCUUACAGCGCACAGGUUCGGCCACAGGAAGAGAAGGUGGCAGCUGGCCCAGAGCAGGAGCAAGAAGCUGGGGAGGGGCAGCACGUCUUAGGAGGACGAAGGGAGCCAGAAAAACGGCCACGAACGCGGGCCGUGGGGAGGGCUCGGGUUGGAACAGUGUCAGUCUAGAUGAUAUCCCUGAGGGGAGGGAAGCAUUUUGUAACAUAUGCAAGGUGUGGCGUGUUAUGAUUUAUUCAGAUUUAUAUGGGGAGGGAGGGUAGAUGAGCAAAAAUGGCUCCUUCAAGUUAUGAGUGUGGAGUUUUGAAGGCACUGUGUAGGCAUGCGACAUUGCUGUUCGAGCUCAGGACUCCUGAGUGUGGUUCUCACCAAAGCACUCUAGAUGCAGUUCAGGGCAGAAGGGAGGUCUGGCAUCAUUCCUGUUAGGGAGGAAAUCGGAGGAAAUCCAAUUUUAAUAAAUUGGAAAAAACAGCUUUUUUCUUUAAGGAAAUCAUUUUAGCCAUGUAAAAUCCCACUAGACCAUGAUGGGGAUUUGGUUUUACUUCCUGUUUCCUAGCAAUACAAAUCUGUUCUUAUUUACAGGAUUCACAAAGAAGAACGACAAAGGAUGUAGGGGGCAAUUUUUAAGCUAAAUUUACACAUUCAUUUAAUUUCCCUGUAGAGUUUUGUACUCAAAUAUUACUGUAACCUUUGCUCAUUUCUUUAUCGGUAGCUUGAGCUCUGUUUUGUGAGUUCGUUACACCAGUUGCCCAUUAUGGGAUGAAUUCUGUUUUGCCAAAAUUUAUACAGCGAAGCCAUAACUUCCAGCACCUCUGACUGCGACCUCCUUGGGAGAGGGGUCAGUGCAGAGGGUGUUAGGUCGGGAGGCGGCCUCUGAUGCGGCCUGACCGGUGUCCUAAUGCACGGACACGUGUGAUGAGGGGCAUGUGGAGAGGAAGCCAGAGACGCCAGACCGCCAGCAGACCGCAGAGCUGGGAGAGAGGCCCGGUAUACAGCGGAGCCUUGUGUUUAUACUUAGAAAGAAAACCAUCGCAGUAAAACACAGAUUGCAGUUAAAACUCCCUCAAAAUCCUGCCUCGCUUCCGGCACCCUGUGCCACUGCUGUUGCCCCUUCUGAAGCAAAGCUGGAGGUCCCCCCUCUCUUUUGUACUGGGGAUCAAACUUAUGGCCUGCUGCUUGCCAGGCAGGCUCUUCUGCCACUGAGCUAAACCCCCAGCCGCAGGAGGGCCUGCUUUGAGGGAGAUUCACGGUGACGGACCUUUUAUUGCGAUGUUAUUUUGUGCUUUUCCCCUUCACCGCCCUCACUGGUCACAUCUCUGCGAGGGAACCAGGCCUGUGACACCUUCGGCCGGGCUUCCAGCGUCCAGUGCAGUGAGACGGUGCUUUCUGUUGUUUAAGCAACUCGCUGUGUGUGCCAUCGGUCUUCUGCAGCACCUUCAUUCUUAGUCACUUAGUAGCUGAGAAUGGUAAUUCACAAUGAACAGCAGGUUAUUGGACUUGCAGUUCCACAGCCGAGAAGGCCAAGCGCGCAGGCUUGUGUCUAGUUAGGGCUUGCUAGCUGGGUCCUCGCUGUCACACAGAGGGGAAGAGGCAGAGUGUGUGGAGAGAGCCCGAGUUAUUUCUGUAAUCAGUGCUGCAAGAUGGCGUUCUUUUACCAGACAGGAAAGAAAGGAAAACAGGAGAGAAAGGAAGGGAGGGAGAAGAGGAGGGAGGAAGGAGAAAAAGAAGGAAGAGACGGAAGGAAGCAAGGUACUUGAGGUCCUUUGAAAAGUAACCAGAUAAUUUGAUUGAGAUCUUUUGACAAAUCAGAUUUAACAAUUGUACCCCCAGAUAUCUGGAAGUAUUUUUAA